AUUGAACGCUGGCGGCAUGCCUUACACAUGCAAGUCGAACGGCAGCACUGGUGCUUGCCCCUGGUGUCGAGUGGCGAACGGGUGAGUAAUACAUCGGAACAUGUCCUGUAGUGGGGGAUAGCCCGGCGAAAGCCGGAUUAAUACCGCAUACGAGCUACGGAUGAAAGCGGGGGACCUUCGGGCCUCGCGCUAUAGGGUUGGCCGAUGGCUGAUUAGCUAGUUGGUGGGGUAAAGGGCUAACAAGGCGGCGAACAGUAGCCGGUCUGAGAGGACGACCAGCCACACUGGGACUGAGACACGGCCCAGACUCCUACGGGAGGCAGCAGUGGGGAAUUUUGGACAAUGGGCGAAAGCCUGAUCCAGCAAUGCCGCGUGUGUGAAGAAGGCCUUCGGGUUGUAAAGCACGUUUGUCCGGAAAGAAAUCCUUGGCCCUAAUACGGUCGGGGGAUGACGGUACCGGAAGAAUAAGCACCGGCUAACUACGUG
rnacentral:rRNA from 1 species